rnacentral:rRNA from 1 species
AACCAGCACCUCAAGUGGUCAGGAUGAUUAUUGGGCCUAAAGCAUCCGUAGCCGGCUCUGUAAGUUUUCGGUUAAAUCUGUACGCUCAACGUACAGGCUGCCGGGAAUACUGCAGAGCUAGGGAGUGGGAGAGAUAGACGGUACUCGGUAGGAAGGGGUAAAAUCCUUUGAUCUAUUGAUGACCACCUGUGGCGAAGGCAGCUCUCUGGCUCGUCACUGACGCUAAGGUGCGAAAGCGUGGGUAGCAAACAGG